CAAAAGUUGAAAAAAAGCAAAUAAAAAAGUUUCUUGAAAUAAUGCAUAAAAAACAUACAAAAAAGCAUACAUUUUUGCCAAAUCCUAUUGGUAUCGAAAUUUAAACAGUGUUCCCAAUUGAACCCAAAUCAAAGAAAUUAAAUACUUCUUAAAACCGAGGAAUGAGUGAAUCCUAAUGCUUGACUCCUAAGUAUUUUCUUCAACAAUAAUCCUAUUGGUCUGUGCCCACAUGCGGUUGUUUUAACAGUGUUCGUUUUUCUGCUGCGAUGGAUGUUCUCAGAGUACCUCAUUGCAUUGUUCUAGAUCCAUAAACUCAUUUCUCUACAUAUGAAGACCUCCUGACCUGGCUCUCUGAGGGAAUUCCAUGUUGGAAUGCUGCUAUAAAAUUUCGUUGCAGUGAUGUUGUAGAUGAUGGGCAUUUUAGCGAGUCCAAAUAUUGUUCCGUAAAGUUGAACUUAUUCCAAGAUGGUAUCCAGCGGCAUGUGUAUCAUGCUUCUACUUCAGAAGAUCAAGCGGAUUUUAAACAUUUCACUUAU